GGCAAAUUAAACACAUUUAACAGAUUUCGGAGGGGAAAAAACGAAAAAUUGACUAAACAUAACUGCCGCUGCUGCGGCUUCUCUCAUCCCGCCUCCGCAGUCCGCACCGCAUGCACCAAUCGCCAGCGAUCGCCCGCCCGUUCGUGCGCGCGUCAGUUGGUUGCUCUCUCCACAUCCAGCGGAAAACUACGCUUUCCCCACCGCCUACGGCCCCGGAACCCUCUCUCCGUAUCUCGGGGCUGGUUGAUGCGGUGAGGUGAACUGAGCUUUUCCCUUUUGGCGGGGGUAACAGCUUGAUCCGAGGAAGGCGCGGGGGAGUCAUCGGCGCGCGACCAUGGCGGGGAUGGCUGCGGCGUGCGGCGCGGCGGCCCCGGCGGGGGCGAGGGAGUGGAGGAAGGGUUGGUCGCUGCGAUCUGGCUUCGACGUGCUCUACGACAAGUGCGGGAGUUGCUAUCAUGCUUCUUUCUGUACUUGGAAUAUGGCUAAAGCUGGAGCCACUUGAAACUUGUUGUAAGAGGAGCACUAUGGAAGGAAAGUAUGGAACUUUCUGAAUGACGCAGACUAUUGAUGAAUCGGACGGGAUUUCUACGAACUGAAUUUUUAUAAAUUUUCAAAUUACGAAGUAUGGUACAAGGACGAAGAAGGAAAAGACAUGAAGCACCUGAGAGGUAGCGGACCUACAAAAAAGUAAGAAGACAAAACUGCGUAUGUGUUGACGUGUAUGUCAUCUUUGUUAUUGAGUAGAAUCAUGACGGUUUCCCUACACUAAUGUUCGUUUUGGUCUAUAGAAAGCUUAAUUAACCAGGAUAUUUUGGGCCUAAGGUAUUACUAAAGAAGGUGCCUCUAAUCUUUAGUGUGAUGUAUGCCUACUUGUCAAAUAUGUAAAACAUCUAGCAGAAGUGCGUUAGGCUCGCUUUUCCACAGAUUUAUGUGACGAUAUUAUCACAAAUCACUGCAUUUCCAAGCUAACCCCUCGUUGAAUUAGUUCUACUUCGUUUCUCAAAAAAAAAAAAGUUCUACUUCAGUUUUUUUUAUUUACUUUCAUCUUAGGUUAACAAAAUUCA